UGCAGUCGAACGCUUCUUUCCUCCCGAGUGCUUGCACUCAAUUGGAAAGAGGAGUGGCGGACGGGUGAGUAACACGUGGGUAACCUACCCAUCAGAGGGGGAUAACACUUGGAAACAGGUGCUAAUACCGCAUAACAGUUUAUGCCGCAUGGCAUAAGAGUGAAAGGCGCUUUCGGGUGUCGCUGAUGGAUGGACCCGCGGUGCAUUAGCUAGUUGGUGAGGUAACGGCUCACCAAGGCCACGAUGCAUAGCCGACCUGAGAGGGUGAUCGGCCACACUGGGACUGAGACACGGCCCAGACUCCUACGGGAGGCAGCAGUAGGGAAUCUUCGGCAAUGGACGAAAGUCUGACCGAGCAACGCCGCGUGAGUGAAGAAGGUUUUCGGAUCGUAAAACUCUGUUGUUAGAGAAGAACAAGGACGUUAGUAACUGAACGUCCCCUGACGGUAUCUAACCAGAAAGCCACGGCUAACUACGUG
rnacentral:rRNA from 1 species